rnacentral:rRNA from 1 species
CUUAAAGCCGUUCUCAGUUCGGAUUGUAGGCUGCAACUCGCCUACAUGAAGUCGGAAUCGCUAGUAAUCGCGGAUCAGCAUGCCGCGGUGAAUACGUUCCCGGGCCUUGUACACACCGCCCGUCACACCAUGAGAGUUUGUAACACCCAAAGCCGGUGGGGUAACCUUUUGGAGCCAGCCGUCUAAGGUGGGACAGAUGAUUGGGGUGAAGUCGUAACAAGGUAUC